GCCGCCGUAGCUCAGCAGGGUGGAUUCUCGGUGAAACCGAGACACUAGGCGCCGCCCUGGUAAGGCGGAGGUCCCGGGUUCAAAUCCCGGCGGCGGCUCCA
rnacentral:tRNA from 2 species